rnacentral:rRNA from 1 species
UACGUAGGCGGCAAGCGUUGUCCGGAUUUAUUGGGUUUAAAGGGUGCGUAGGCGGCCCUGUAAGUCAGUGCUGAAAUAUCCCAGCUUAACUGGGAGGGUGGCAUUGAUACUGCGGGGCUAGAGUACAGAUGAGGUAGGCGGAAUUGACGGUGUAGCGGUGAAAUGCUUAGAUAUCGUCAAGAACACCUAUAGCAAAGGCAGCUUACUAGGCUGUAACUGACGCUGAGGCACGAAAGUGUGGGGAUCAAACAGG